CCCAAAGCCUCUCCUCCUCCUGGCUGCAGUGAUUGGUUGGUGAUACUCAUGUGACCCAAGCUGACCAAUGGGCAUCCAGGAAAGCAGAUAACUGACAUGAGUGGAUAACCUCUGGAAAGGAGGGAUGCUAAGUGCUGGGGUCUGAGUAACAUGUCCCCCACCCCCUCCUGGUUAGCACACAAGAAGUGAGUGCCUUUCUCGAUGGACGAAUCCACCCUGGGUUCAUAUGACAGCAGUACUGGAGGUCUUACUAAAGGAUCGGGUCAUUAGGGUUCGCCUCUUCCUGUCUGCUUCCGGGCGUGGUAAGGCAAGCAACUCCUACCCAUCAUGCUCCUGUCCCACCUCCGCCUGGCAUCCACGGAUGCUGCAGCCCUGGGCAGAUCCUUGGAAGCCAUGAACCGAACGAAGCAGAGCCUUCUCCCUUUUAAGUGUUCCUCUCCUACACACGCCCCAGUGAUGAGAAGUCUGACCAACAAGCUUUCUCAUCAGGAGGCUGGGGUUGAGACUUAGGGGAGCUGGCAGCCAUCUUGCUGCCACUAAGAGCGGGAGACAAAGCUCGUGCAGAGGAAAGCAGGUCCAAGUGAUGGAAACAGAUAUUGUAUACAUGUCCAUUAGGAACUAAUUAUACAAAUAAUGUGCCUACGUCUGUCUGUUAUCCUGGAUCCAGCCAGACCUGAUGCUGUCAUCUGACUGUAUGCGCGUACCAGAACACACAUCUAAAUGGUUCGUGGAGGUGCCUUAAAAUAAUGUUUUUUUUUUCUUCUGCCACUUGCUCUCUAUGAAGAAGGCUUGAAUUUCCCAAGAACUCUCCCUCUCAGGACAAAGCACUCAGGACCUAGCAGAGGGAACCAUUUUCAUAAGAACAAGGGGGCUAUGCACAUGUGGAGAAGCCCUGCCUCCAGCCUUGGCGGUCACACAGCCUAUGGGGGAGUCAGAGUAGAAUCAAGGUAUGCCUGAGAGAUCCAGGACCCUCCUCACCUCACCCAGAGGUUCAAGCUGGCUUCUUGGCACCCAGCUGCAGAGUCACUGGUGAGCUAUCACGGGGCACCCAUCCCAACCCCUUGUGUAUCUCAUAGAGUGUCGGGCUAACUGUCCACCAUCUCCUGGGUGGACAUCCUCCUAAGCCAGGAUCCUGGAGCAAAUAUGGACCCACCCAUAAUAGUGAUUUCUUUCCUCCAAAGACUACAUGUUGUGGGGUUCCCUGGGGUUCCCCAGGAUAAGUACCCCUAUGGUAGGCAACUUGGUUUAACGUUCCUCUGAGUUCCUGUGUUAACCGCUUGCUUCUAGCCUAGGUCUUUAAGAGGUGGGAGUCUGAGGUAUUUUGUGAUGAUGGUGGAAGUUGGUCCACACAACCCGCUGCCCCUGAACGUGAGCCUUCCAUAGGGUCAUCCUCUCGGGGAAUGUUUGCCUUGAGCCCUUCACAUGUCUUGAACCCUCGCCCGUGUGUGGACUAGAACAGGUAAAGGGGACAUUCAGGUUCUAGAGACCAGCAUUUUGUGUCAAGUCAUUCCGUGACGGGAACAAGGUGUGCUGUCCCUCACCUUCCUUUACUGCCAAUGCGACUUGGCCAUCUAAAACCACUUCUGGGCUGUCAUUUCUCCCCUCAGAGAGGUGGCCCUGGUUCUGCAGCCUCCAAUAGAGGGCCAGGGACAGACAUACAGACAGAUUGAGCUGGGACGAGGCUGUUCACUGCUCUACGCCAUCAGGAGCUGGGUAGAAGGAAGGACAGCACCUCAGAGCCUGGCCUGGACAUGAGUGGAUGCAGAGAUGGUGAUGAUGUUUUUCCUGUCCCCACCCCAUCCCUGUGGACUGCAGUGCUUGCGGCCCAUAGGAGGCAGGCAGCUCAGACCCCCACAGCCUUGCAUUCCUGGGGUUCAACAGCAGGUGACACAGAGGACAAGGGUACAUUAUCUCACAUGAUCUCACUGCAACCAGACCAGCAAGGCCCAGGGAGGGAGAGAAACUCAGGAAACACUGAGAUUGCAGGCUUCCUGGGGGACCAAGUGACUUGGGGCAUCCAGGGUAACUUGGCCUGCUAGUGAUACACAGGCUUGGGUGCAGACCCCAUCUGUGAGGUGCCCACUUCUUCCCAGGGCAUUGCUACAGAAACCUUGACGGAAAUGACUGUUUACUCCAGGCCUAAGGGUUCUUGGCAGACCCUCAUACCUGUGGCCCCGCCCCACCUCCGGCAGAGGCCACUAGGGUACAGCAGAGCAGUACCACAGUGAGUUCACCCUAUGGGAGACCUAGUUCAAUUCUGGUUCCGCCAUUUCUAGCAAUGAGUUCUGGCAAACUCUCCAGCAGCCCUGGGCAGUGUCAUCCACUGCACAAUGGGAGCAACCCCCCAGCCCCCCCCCCAACAUGGUCCCUGGCUUGCUCUGAAAGUCAGGGAAACCUGCAGAGGCAGGAACAAGGAACACGGCAGCACCCGCUCUUUGCUCGAUGCUAUUUCCAAUGACACUUGUUCCAGGACUGUGUCUCCUGGGCCAUGCCCACUCUGUGGUCUCCUCCCCACCCCUGCUGGUCCCUCCAGCCUUUCUCCCAGCAUCUGCUGUUUCCAUGACACCCUUGGCUGGGGAGCUAAUUUUAAUGAGCAAGAUUGAUUAACACGCAAUUACUACUUUCCUUCCCUGUCCCUUUUGUCUUUUAGAAAUGGAAACAAAGGACAUUCUGGAACUUGAGUCAAACAUUUACCAAAUUAAUUCUCAAGAAAAUGUUUGAGAUUC